UAUAGUUGUAAUAGUGUUCGGACUUCUACUGUAGCUAAACAGUGAUUUCACUGUAGAUAUUAGCCAUACCCAUUUUUUCUUACUCAAAAGAACGGUGAAGCCAUUUCUCCACGCAAACCCAGACACAAGCUUUCUUCAUCAUCAUCAUCAUCAUCAUUUUUUUCUCUCAUUUCUUCAAUUCUUCUCUCGUUUUUCUAUGAUUAAUCUCUUCGUGCAAAAUUCUCGUGAAUAGAGAGGUAAAUCCUGGCAUGCCGUUUUUCUCAAAUUAUGAUUUUUUUUAUUCAAAAUUCUAGGUGCAAAAUUUUUUAUUUCGAGUGAAUAGAGAUGUAUAUCCUCGAUUUUAUCUGAUAAUUAUAAUUUUGUUUAUUCGACUCACAAUUUUGGAUUUUUGUGUAAAAUAGAGAGGUAUAUUCUUGGUUUAAUGUAAAUUAAAAUGCUUCUUAUCUUGUUAAUUCAUUUGUCUCUUGUAUAUCUCAUGCAUUAGCAAUCUUGACAGAAAUUGUGAAAUAUGACUUCUUUUAGCAAUCUUGGUGCGGAGUCCCCGUACAGACUGUGUGGGGAUUUUUUAGGUUUUAACACUGAAUAAUUUUAAAGAGUUCUAAUGAUGACAAAGGAGUAAAAUUUUUUGCAACAAGUAAUCUCGACAUGAAUGAUGAGGAUAUGCUUGCAGAAAGACAUUAUUUGUAAGCUUUGUAAUGAGAUGUAUUAUAGUGGGCAAUGUUUUUAUACAUGCACUAAUCACUUUAUGUCCAAACUUCUAUGGUUUAAACAGUUUUUAAGAUGUCAAAAACAAGUUAAUGUUUCGUUAUCUAGAAGAUAUCGGUCUCAAGAAUGUUGGUCUUCAUUUUGAAGACAAGAUCUAA